UGUCUAUGCUUGUUAUUGUCUAGAAGCGCUCGGGUCUCUAUUUCUUGCUUCCGUUUCGCCGUAUCAGCGUCAUUGAUCUCUCUCUCUAUAGGGAAGAAAAUCUGAAUCCAUGGCUACCUUAGCGGCUGCUGCAGUUCGUCAUGCCAGAGCCCUAGCUCGAGUUUCCUCGCCUCAGUCAACCGCCAACCUUAUUCACAAGCGCGGUCUCGCUGGCGCUGCCGACCAUCAUGGACCCCCGAAGGUUAACUGUUGGCAAGAUCCCAUGAGCCCAUCUAAGUGGAAGGAAGAGCACUUCGUGCUUGUCUCUCUAUCAGGAUGGGCACUGCUCAUCUCUGGAGGGUACAAGUUCUUCACCAGGGGAAAAGGAAAGGAUGAGAAACUUGCGGAAGCAUCCCAAUGAGCUGAGCUGCUGACAUUUUCCGAUUGUUCUAAAGUACUCCUAAUAAUAUAUUUCCUUGUACCUCAUGCGCCUGUGGAUUUCAUUUCAAUCUGGAAUUGUUUCUCAGACUAGUAUAUGGGCUUAUCUUUGUAGCUUUUUCUUGACGCUUUGGUUAUUUCACGCACCAAAGUUCACAUCCAAUAAUAAUUUACCAUCAUUUAAGCCCCCGCAAACUCAUUCAUUGGAUUUGAAGAAAGGGCAUUUGUGGUUCAGAGUUUGUGAUUGAACAAAGCAUUUUUGAGUUAUCAGUUUAUUGCAAUCUUUGGUGUCA